rnacentral:rRNA from 3 species
GACUCUCGGCAACGGAUAUCUCGGCUCUUGCAUCGAUGAAGAACGUAGCGAAAUGCGAUACUUGGUGUGAAUUGCAGAAUCCCGUGAACCAUCGAGUCUUUGAACGCAAGUUGCGCCCGAAGCCGUCAGGCCGAGGGCACGUCUGCCUGGGUGUCACGCAACGUCGCC